rnacentral:rRNA from 2 species
CUGACGGAGCAACGCCGCGUGAGUGAUGAAGGCUUUCGGGUCGUAAAACUCUGUUGUUAGGGAAGAACAAGUACAAGAGUAACUGCUUGUACCUUGACGGUACCUAACCAGAAAGCCACGGCUAACUACGUGCCAGCAGCCGCGGUAAUACGUAGGUGGCAAGCGUUAUCCGGAAUUAUUGGGCGUAAAGCGCGCGCAGGCGGUUUCUUAAGUCUGAUGUGAAAGCCCACGGCUCAACCGUGGAGGGUCAUUGGAAACUGGGGAACUUGAGUGCAGAAGAGAAAAGCGGAAUUCCACGUGUAGCGGUGAAAUGCGUAGAGAUGUGGAGGAACACCAGUGGCGAAGGCGGCUUUUUGGUCUGUAACUGACGCUGAGGCGCGAAAGCGUGGGGAGCAAACAGGAUUAGAUACCCUGGUAGUCCACGCCGUAAACGAUGAGUGCUAAGUGUUAGAGGGUUUCCGCCCUUUAGUGCUGCAGCUAACGCAUUAAGGCAC